rnacentral:rRNA from 1 species
ACGAACGCUGGCGGCGUGCCUAAUACAUGCAAGUAGAACGCUGAAGGAGGAGCUUGCUUCUCUGGAUGAGUUGCGAACGGGUGAGUAACGCGUAGGUAACCUGCCUGGUAGCGGGGGAUAACUAUUGGAAACGAUAGCUAAUACCGCAUAAGAGUAGAUGUUGCAUGACAUUUGCUUAAAAGGUGCAAUUGCAUCACUACCAGAUGGACCUGCGUUGUAUUAGCUAGUUGGUGGGGUAACGGCUCACCAAGGCGACGAUACAUAGCCGACCUGAGAGGGUGAUCGGCCAAAAUGGGACUGAGACACGGCCCAGACUCCUACGGGAGGCAGCAGUAGGGAAUCUUCGGCAAUGGACGGAAGUCUGACCGAGCAACGCCGCGUGAGUGAAGAAGGUUUUCGGAUCGUAAAGCUCUGUUGUAAGAGAAGAACGAGUGUGAGAGUGGAAAGUUCACACUGUGACGGUAUCUUACCAGAAAGGGACGGCUAACUACGUG